CUAACAGCUUGAAAAACUUAUUUGGGGGAAUAAUCGAGGAAAACUUUCCUGGCCUUGCUAGACACCUAGACAUUCAAAUACAAGAAACUCAAAGAACACCUGGGAAAUUCAUUGCAAAAAGAUCACUGCCUAGGCACACUGUCAUUAGGUUAUCUAAAGCCAAGAUGAAGGAUUUUUUUAGUGGUCACUCUCUUCACUUUUUCCUUCUACUCCUCAACGCACAGAUGAAUUGUGGGUUGUACUUUCCAGUUGAACUUUCAACCCAAAUAUUCGAGGAAAUUGCUCUUACCAAAUUACUUAGGAUGUUGCCAAAACCAAUGGUCAAUUCUCUUCCUAUUGUAUUUGAUGCAUCAGCAGCAUCCAUCAUAGUGGACCACGCUCCUCUUGAAACACUUUCUCCAGUUGACUUUUACAAUGCCAUCCCCUCCUAAUUUUCCUCCUGCCACCAA
rnacentral:lncRNA from 1 species